UGUGAACAGGCCUGGCUAUCUCUAUGUAUUUGAAAGCAUAAUGGAAAAUUGACUGCUGAAUUCCCAUAUGGUUUCUGAAAGAUAGUCUAUGAUGGGGAUGGCUCUUGAAGAAGUAAUAGCUCUGUAUAGAAUCCUGGUCUGUGUUUAGAAGCUUUGGUAGUGCUACAGUAUAUGGAAGCCCUAACUGUGCCACAGAACGUCACUGUACAAGAUGAGUAGGCAACAUAAGACUGGACAGUCACUUCUGAGCAGAAGAAAAAAGUCUGACCUUGUUUACCAGAGCAGGGGACCAGUGUAGGGAUCAAUGAGAGAGGAGGUGCCAGGAAGUUGGUAAGCUCGAGUGCUGGCCAGAAUCAGAACACAAAAACAUGUGCAGAGGUAUGUGCUGUAGGUGGCUCAGGGUAAGGGAGCAGAGCACUGGGUAGGCCACCAAGGCAUUGGGGUGAGAAUAGGACCUUGGUGUGGUUAGGGAUUAGGAAUGCAGACAGAUGGACC